CUACGGGCCGCUGCAGUGAGGAAUUUUGCGCAAUGGGGGCAACCCUGACGCAGCAACGCCGCGUGAGUGAAGAAGGCCCUUGGGUCGUAAAGCUCUGUCAAUGGGGAAGAAGUUAUUAUGUGUUAAUAGCACAUUUUAUUGACGGUACCCAUGAAGGAAGCACCGGCUAACUCCGUGCCAGCAGCCGCGGUAAUACGGGGGGUGCAAGCGUUAUUCGGAAUUAUUGGGCGUAAAGGGCACGCAGGCGGUCCUGUCAGUCAGAUGUGAAAGCCCGGGGCUCAACCCCGGACGUGCAUUUGAAACAGCAGGACUUGAGUACGGGAGAGGAAAGGGGAAUUCCUGGUGUAGAGGUGAAAUUCGUAGAUAUCAGGAGGAACACCGGUGGCGAAGGCGCCUUUCUGGACCGAUACUGACGCUGAGGUGCGAAGGCGUGGGUAGCGAACGGGAUUAGAUACCCUAGUAGUC
rnacentral:rRNA from 1 species